rnacentral:lncRNA from 10 species
CAGCCUCCUGAGUAGCUGGGACUAUAUACAUGUGUCACCAUGCUUGGUUAAUUAAAAAAAAAUUUUUAUAGAGGUUUGGGGGGUCUCACUGUGUUGCCCAGGCUGGUCUUGAACUCCUGGUUUCAAGCAGUUCUCCCACCUCAGUCUCCCAAAGGUCUGGGACUACAGGUGCCAUCAUGUCUGGCCUUUGUUGAAUUUUGAUGGCAGUCCCCAGGACAAGGAAGAUUAAAUGAACCACCACAAAUGAAGUGCUUAGAAGAAAACAUGGCACAUGGAUCUAGGGAAUCAAAGAAGAUUAAAGCUGUAAUCCCUUAUCAUCGAGAAACUCUCAUCUUCAUGAUACAUAAACAGAUGAUUACUUUCCCCCACAGCUUGCAAAGUUGAGUCUUCAAGUAAGACAAGUGCAAAGAAAGAAAUUUGGAACAGCAGACUGUUUCUGUUGGUACGAUUCUUAGGAGAAAAUAUGUGUCAUACAUUAUAUGCACUGAGAUCUUAUGUGUUUCGAAUCCACUAAUUUGGGGCUAAUGGGAGUGGGAUUUAAUUUUAGUUAAAUUGAAUAGCAGCAUCACUUUCAAUUGUUCUUAAAAAUAGGAUUUAUUAAACAAAAUAAUAAUGCAAAGACCCAAGAGGACUGUCUGUUAAGUAUUCUGGUAAGACUUCAAUUUUACCUCUAUUGCAACAUUCUGAAGCUUAUUGUUUUCAUUUGCUUAAAUUAGACUGUGCGAUGCCAGAGGGUAGGGAGUGUAUCUAAUUCAUUUUUGUGUCUAGUACAAAUUAAAUGGAGGUAUAACUGUAUUUAAGGGGACCAAGAGUUUUCUCAUUCAUUCUUUAAACCAUUUUGGCAGAAUGCAUUUACAUAGAACUAAUUCAGGCACAAUUACCA